CUGGUACCUUCCACGUUGGCAUGAUUUACGUUGAUAUGAUUUUAGUAUAACAGGCUUUGUCUCAGGUUUGGACUUCGAGACGGAUCGAGGAAGCGACUCGGGGAGCAUCUUAUGCCAAGACGCUCAGCAGCAGCCCGCUUCUACUAACUACCACACCUGUUAGACUCUGUGCAGUUUUACUGUUUGAGACUUAGCCUGUGCUCGGUUAGUGAGUGUUGUACCAUCUACAAUAAAUUCUUUUAAUCACCGA